rnacentral:misc_RNA from 1 species
CAUACAUCCUUCCUGUCUCUCCUGCAAUGCCAAUUCACCUUUUUGGAAUCAAAUAUUGAAAAAAGAUAGAAAAGAAGGAUCAUAGAGCAGUCUCUUUAAUUAAGCAACCUGUUGAAAUUCAAAAUAAAUGUACUAACAUCAACUCUUCGCAUUUUAUUUAUAGGAUAAAAGCCUGGAAGAUCAGGUUUGCUAUUCAAGAUUUCAAAAGUGCUAAUGAAGAUUAUUCCCCCAAAGUCUAAAGAAACACUGAACGUUUGAUUUUGACUAAUCAUAAGCUGUUUACAUAUGGCACGCCAAAAGCUAAUUAUUAAUGUAUAAACCCCAUAGGAUAUAAGGCAAUUCUUUCAUCUUAAGAUAGGAAACAACCCCUACACAAGUACGAACAACUCAAUUUUUAAAGGGGCAAAAGCAAUCUUCUCCUUUUAGAACCAUCUACCGAAUAACCAUCAACCAAUUUAAGAAUUACUGUGCCUAUAAGAUCAGUAGGAAAAUAUUCUUCCUACAAUUUAACUCUACUGUCAUCAACUAAAUAGAAACCCAUGAAUUCAAGCCCAAAAUGUGACCAUAUAAGAGAAUAACAUUCCCUUCAACAGCCAUAGCACCUCAUAAAACACCCACAAAGAUAAAUCACAAAUCCAAUCACACAUUUGAGAGAUGGGCAUACAUGUGCCUGGUUGAUAAAAGGAAUUGGAGAAUCUGAUAGUAGAUAUGAAAUUCUGCAUAAGAUUAAUAUUAAAAAUGAAACUUCAACAAAAAUUGUCAUUGUAUUAUUUUCAAAACUAUCAGAAACUA